rnacentral:tRNA from 1 species
AGUUAAUGAGCUUGAACAAGCAUAUAUUUUGAAAAUAUAAGAUAAAAAUUUCUUUUUAUUAACUU